GAGUUUGAUCAUGGCUCAGAUUGAACGCUGGCGGCAGGCCUAACACAUGCAAGUCGAACGGUAACAGGAAGCAGCUUGCUGCUUCGCUGACGAGUGGCGGACGGGUGAGUAAUGUCUGGGAAGCUGCCUGAUGGAGGGGGAUAACUACUGGAAACGGUAGCUAAUACCGCAUAAUGUCGCAAGACCAAAGAGGGGGACCUUCGGGCCUCUUGCCAUCGGAUGUGCCCAGAUGGGAUUAGCUUGUUGGUGGGGUAACGGCUCACCAAGGCGACGAUCCCUAGCUGGUCUGAGAGGAUGACCAGCCACACUGGAACUGAGACACGGUCCAGACUCCUACGGGAGGCAGCAGUGGGGAAUAUUGCACAAUGGGCGCAAGCCUGAUGCAGCCAUGCCGCGUGUAUGAAGAAGGCCUUCGGGUUGUAAAGUACUUUCAGCGGGGAGGAAGGGAGUAAAGUUAAUACCUUUGCUCAUUGACGUUACCCGCAGAAGAAGCACCGGCUAACUCCGUGCCAGCAGCCGCGGUAAUACGGAGGGUGCAAGCGUUAAUCGGAAUUACUGGGCGUAAAGCGCACGCAGGCGGUUUGUUAAGUCAGAUGUGAAAUCCCCGGGCUCAACCUGGGAACUGCAUCUGAUACUGGCAAGCUUUAGUCUCGUAGAGGGGGGUAGAAUUCCAGGUGUAGCGGUGAAAUGCGUAGAGAUCUGGAGGAAUACCGGUGGCGAAGGCGGCCCCCUGGACGAAGACUGACGCUCAGGUGCGAAAGCGUGGGGAGCAAACAGGAUUAGAUACCCUGGUAGUCCACGCCGUAAACGAUGUCGACUUGGAGGUUGUGCCCUUGAGGCGUGGCUUCCGGAGCUAACGCGUUAAGUCGACCGCCUGGGGAGUACGGCCGCAAGGUUAAAACCCAAAUGAAUUGACGGGGGCCCGCACAAGCGGUGGAGCAUGUGGUUUAAUUCGAUGCAACGCGAAGAACCUUACCUGGUCUUGACAUCCACGGAAGUUUUCAGAGAUGAGAAUGUGCCUUCGGGAACCGUGAGACAGGUGCUGCAUGGCUGUCGUCAGCUCGUGUUGUGAAAUGUUGGGUUAAGUCCCGCAACGAGCGCAACCCUUAUCCUUUGUUGCCAGCGGUCCGGCCGGGAACUCAAAGGAGACUGCCAGUGAUAAACUGGAGGAAGGUGGGGAUGACGUCAAGUCAUCAUGGCCCUUACGACCAGGGCUACACACGUGCUACAAUGGCGCAUACAAAGAGAAGCGACCUCGCGAGAGCAAGCGGACCUCAUAAAGUGCGUCGUAGUCCGGAUUGGAGUCUGCAACUCGACUCCAUGAAGUCGGAAUCGCUAGUAAUCGUGGAUCAGAAUGCCACGGUGAAUACGUUCCCGGGCCUUGUACACACCGCCCGUCACACCAUGGGAGUGGGUUGCAAAAGAAGUAGGUAGCUUAACCUUCGGGAGGGCGCUUACCACUUUGUGAUUCAUGACUGGGGUGAAGUCGUAACAAGGUA
rnacentral:rRNA from 1 species